rnacentral:rRNA from 1 species
UGGGGAAUAUUGGACAAUGGGCGAAAGCCUGAUCCAGCCAUGCCGCGUGUGUGAAGAAGGUCUUCGGAUUGUAAAGCACUUUAAGUUGGGAGGAAGGGCAGUAAGCGAAUACCUUGCUGUUUUGACGUUACCGACAGAAUAAGCACCGGCUAACUCUGUGCCAGCAGCCGCGGUAAUACAGAGGGUGCAAGCGUUAAUCGGAAUUACUGGGCGUAAAGCGCGCGUAGGUGGUUCGUUAAGUUGAGUGUGAAAGCCCCGGGCUCAACCUGGGAACUGCAUCCAAAACUGGCGAGCUAGAGUAGGGCAGAGGGUGGUGGAAUUUCCUGUGUAGCGGUGAAAUGCGUAGAUAUAGGAAGGAACACCAGUGGCGAAGGCGACCACCUGGGGUCAUACUGACACUGAGGUGCGAAAGCGUGGGGAGCAAACAGG